CCUACGGGUCGCACCAGUGGGAAUAUUGGACAAUGGGCGAAAGCCUGAUCCAGCAAUGCCGCGUGUGUGAAGAAGGUCUUCGGAUUGUAAAGCACUUUCGACGGGGACGAUGAUGACGGUACCCGUAGAAGAAGCCCCGGCUAACUUCGUGCAGCAGCCGCGGUGAUACGAAGGGGGCUAGCGUCGCUCGGAACGACUGGGCGUAAAGGGCGCGUAGGCGGUUUAUGCAGUCAGAUGUGAAAUCCCCGGGCUUAACCUGGGAACUGCAUUUGAGACGCAUAGACUAGAGGUCGAGAGAGGGUUGUGGAAUUCCCAGUGUAGAGGUGAAAUUCGUAGAUAUUGGGAAGAACACCGGUGGCGAAGGCGGCAACCUGGCUCGAUACUGACGCUGAGGCGCGAAAGCGUGGGGAGCAAACAGGAUUAGAUACCCGAGUAGUC
rnacentral:rRNA from 1 species